UAUUUUAGCCAUCAGUAAGCUGUACGAGAGGUGUCCUGACAGUGGCGCCAUCAACACGGUGUAUACAUCAAGAGGUGAACAACAUUUCCUAGGUCCACCACGUGAACCGCCUGCUUAACGAAUUAAUACUGCCUGUGGUCUGUUGUCGUUAACAUAAGGUUAUGUUUGCCAAGGUGCAGAAGAGUGCUGGACACACCAGAUCAUAAUGAGUUAUCAAGAAUUGCCUGGCAAAGGUACACUUCAGUGAGCAACAUUAGGCUACUGUACUUCACCUCUUUUGCAACUUGAUGUCACCGUUGACCACGGGUGUCAACCCCAUUAAAAUAUCACCUCACAUCACAAAGUUGUUCAAAGUUGUUUCCUGACACUGUACAGCUUAGCGAUCAUCAUUAGGAAGCUGUAGAACAUUUGCAGAUAACCACCGAGGGGGAGUUAACUCUGGUGGACGUAGGCAGAGCAGGAGAAGGAAGGGUAAAGGCAGGUGGUUCAAGGGAAGAAGAUUGUUACAAGGAAGAGGAAGUAUUAGAGAUCAAGCUAAAGAAUCAGGAAGCAGUACAGAAGAACUAGCUGGGACCUCUGGUGGUAGAGGAGUUAAGAAGACCUCCCAACUGGAAGAU
rnacentral:misc_RNA from 1 species